UGUCAUUAAAUAUGCUAAAUAAUUAAAAAUUGAAGGGAAACCAGGCAACUUUUCAGAAAUUGACAAUGGCAAGCUCUCUUUGUUUAUUCUGCUUAGAAUAAAGUAGCAUGGACUAGUUGGCUCAUGACUAACACAGACUCAUAGUUUCUCAUAGUUCCAAAGCUGAGAGACAUACCUAACGCCAGCAUGGUCAGAUUUUGAUGACAUGUUACAGGUGACAACUGACUUAUUUUUUUCCUCCAGUGGCAGAAAAGAAGGUGAAAGUGUUCUCUGGGAUACCUUUUAUUUGGGCUUUCCUUCCAUUCAUGAGGGUUCCAGGCCAUGACCUCAUGAAUUUCCAAAGACUUCACAUAAUGCUAUAUAACACUAAUGACCAGAGUGAAGUGAUGCAAUUAUUCUGUUCCUACAAUGGACUAGUACAGAAAGAGGCAAUGGCAGAGGCACAAUGAAAUAAAACUAGAAGAAAAAUUAAUGUGUCAAUUUUCUUUUGAUGAACUUGAGAUCUUUGUUCCACGGUUUAUAAUCUCAGCUCCCUCAACAGCUUGCUUACUAAUCUUACCACAAACAUUGGAAAGAAAGAUGUAACCCACAACUUUUUAAAUUAAGUUUGUCAUGAGAAGAAUGUUUAAAUUAAGUUAGAUGCUAAGCAAAAGAAAUGAAAUUCAAACGUUGGUUAAUAAAGUGCCUAAGAAGAUAGUAAAUAUCCAGGCAUGCAGUGCAGCAGACUGUAUGUACUCCUAACCUACAAAGUCUCAGCAGUAAUGCACUCUGGGAAAUCAGCCCCAGGCCUUCUGGGAGAGGAUAAAUAAGCAAGGAGGGGAGGAGGGGACCUUUGUUCUGUCUCUGAACUAGCUCUUUACAAGUUUAAUCAAAUUUGGAAUUCGAGGGUUAAGGCUGAAAACUUUUAGAGCAGAUCUGGUUUUGCUCAGAUGAUAAUAGCAUCACUCCAGAGAUUCCCAGCCAGUUGUCAGGGAUAUACACAAUGAGGUUCAGCUCUACAGUGUGGGAGCCGGCAAAAUCUAGGUAGAAGUGAUAGACCCCAGACUCAGGGCACUAUCCUCUAAGGUGGGCGCCCCAGAAACCCGGAUUCCAGACCAGUUGCUGCAAUCACAUGAAGCUUUAUUUUAACCGUUUGCACACACAAUCCCUACACAAUUCAGUGAGAGGAGCCCCGAACAAUAAUUGCAGGCAUCUUUUAAAGUCAAAAACCACAAAAAUUAACAUAGCGUUCGGGGCAAUACACAAUUGGCUAGUUUAAAGAUCAGCACCGGAGAGGGGGAGUACAGCUAUGGGGACUUUCCAUGGGGGCUGCUUUUCUUCCUAGAAUAGCCACAGGAUCUUCUGCUAGACCCAGACAACGUCACAAGGUUAUUCUGCUGAUGCCACGAGAAAUAUGACAAGAAUAUUUCUGCUGAGGCUAACGGUUUGGGGACCUGGUUUGGGGGCCCGAGGCUGGUACUCGUUCCUCUUUCUCAUGUUUAAUUCUUUCAGAAGGUCCUGAGGAUCUAUGUGGGUUGAACAUUUCUGAUUGGUUCACUGAUGUUGAGCUUAGCCUUAUAACUUUUUUGGUCAAUGAAAUGUUAUAGUAUCUAAAAAGGCAUAUUUUAAAAAUUCUGAUUAUAUUCUGUAUUCUAUGUCUGUCUCCUGGGAUCCUUAGGUAGUGGCUGCAUCAUCAGUCUAGGCCUAUAUUGCAUGUAUGUAUCUGAGAUCAAGCUCAGACUGUAGCCUUAGGUAAAGGCUAAUUGAUCCACAGCCUGAAGCAGGCCUACUCAUCCAGACAAGCCUUGCUGAGUCACUGGAACCUAGUGUCCCUCAGACCUGUGAGUGCAGUGAUAUCUCACUAUGAUUGUAAGCCAUUGAGUUUUUAUGUGACUUAUUUUGGAGCGUAUUGUCAAAAUAGGAAACUAAUAGGAUUAUCAAAGUGCAUGUGUAUAGUUUCCUUUCAAAAUCUUUAAUAUUAUCCCUGGGUAUUUGCUAUUAAUAUUUAUUAACAGGAAUUUUUACAGUAACAGUUUUUCAUCGUCAACUGCACAGCCUGCAGCUUUUGUCCUAAGUGUUCUCAGCCCCAGUUCACCUGGAAGACUCAUCAGGAGCAAAGAUAACAACUACCCUUUAGCUAGAUCCUCUUAGUAUUUUGAAAAUAUUUCAUCAGUUCAUAAAUGCAUGGAUUCAGCCAGUGAAUAUCAAAUGUGAUCCAUGCAUGUAUUUGCUCAUUAGAGAAAAGGCCCAAUCAGUCCACAUGUUUAGUAAAAGCACCAAGAAAGUCGUUUUCUUCAAGAACAUCUGUCAAAAAAAUCUUUCUGCUGAGUCAUUGAUACCCAGGAGAUUCUGCUGAGUCAUUUAUCCCCAGAAGAUAUGUUCACAUUUUCAUACCAUUAUGAGAAGUGAUUAUAUUUGCAGAAAGGAGUAGAAAUAACAGUGAUGCGGCAUGAUCUGAGGGGUGUCUCUGAGUUGGGGGUCCUUAGUAUAUAUGAACCACUGUUUGGUAUAAAGAUGUGUUGUUGUUUCCUUAUUUUAGAGAGGCUGAUUCUGAACUGGAAAGUUUUGUAAAAUACGAAUAAUUUCUCUAUGAGGGGAUAAGAAAAAGGAGAAUUUUGAAUCAAACUGAAAAUUGUUUCUGUAAAUUAAAUGUCUACCCCAAAUGGAGUUUAAAAAGCAGUCAACUUUAGAGAGAAGUGUGUUUGAUUGUUUUAAUGAAAAAAUUUUAUGGAAUUUAUUUUGAUCAUAUUCUUUCCCCUCUCCACACUCCUUCCAGGUAUUUUCUACCUCUCUACCCAGCAAACGUCAUGUCCUCCUCCCCCCAAAAAGAAAAGGAAAAUAACAAAACCCACAAAAAUCAAAACAAAUCAACAAACAAAAUACCAAAGUAAACAAAUCAAACAAACAAAAAGCACACAAUAAACAGAGUGUAUUUUUUGUUGGUCAAGGACUCCUGGGCAUGGGGCCUGCCCUGGCAUGUGACUGAAAUACCCUGUGUUAAUCCACUGGAUGAAACUGAUUUUCUCUUUCCCAACAGUUAUCAGUUGGAAAUUGUUCCUUGUUUUCAUUGCAGAGCAAGCACCAUCAUUUUCCAGAUCAACAUAAUGAGACCAAAGAAGCCUAUUUAAUAUCAGAGCUUGAUUUGAAGUAAAAUUGGACAUCUUGAACAAGGCAGAAUUCCAUCACAAGUUAAGUAAAAGUGCAAUUAUCCUUUCUCAGAAUCCUAGAUACCUUCAAUUAUGAUAUAGGAGAGACAAUCACAAAACCAGAUGCCUAAGUGUAAUCAAAAGCUUAUAUAAGAGAGGGAGGUCAGUGAGUUAAUAGAUGUGGAAUAAUGAUGUGUAUUUUUUUAUCAUCUCGCAGGGUUUACCAACCCUCUCCAAUUGCUGAGUUGCAAGGAUUUCUGAGGAUGUGAAGCUUCAGCAUAUGAUAUAUACGGGAUUCAAAAGGACAUUUGAGAAGUCACAUGUGUUGAACUGCCUCUGCCCUUUUCUCAUUCUAGUCACUAUGAAGUAAAAAGAGUAUGCUUGCAAAUGUACAUAGGACCUCCUGCAUAAGGACAAUUAAUUCCCUCUGUUGAAGAUGUUUGUAACAUCGAUUAGUUGAAAACUUUGAACAUAAUUCUGAAAUGAACCAAAUAAAGAUGUACAGUCCAUAAAACUUGAUCCACAUUGAAUUAUACACACAUCCUGGGUAUUGAUGCUUUGUAAUAAUAUAACUCCCUCGGGCAUUUUUCUAUUGACUACUGUAGAAUAGCUAAGUAAGUCAGAGCAAUUUUAUGUGUUAGUUUCAUUUACCUGCUUUAGAUUCCUUAGAUCCUUUGAUUGAUUUUAAUGAAGUUUUAUUCUGUGAAAUGCAUUCUGGCAGGCUUUUGGCUAGCUAUUUUUUAGAGUUUCAUCUGUCUAAGCAUGAUAAAUGUUGCUAUGACUAAGGAGAUAGUUACAUUAGAUAAAAGUUACUUGUAAAAUGUUAUAGUAGAUAAAGUUAAACUUGCAAUUUGCAUUUGAAGACAAAACCUACAAGCAAAUACACCAGAAGCUGCAUGUGCAGCCUUCAGUUUGAAUGGGUGAAAGACUAACAGCUGGCUGACUACGGAGGUGGGAGGUGGAAGUGAAGUCCCUCUGCUAAGGCUGUUGGUUGUGGUUGCUUGCUUGCUCUCUACGCAUGCGCUGUUCUCUGGGAGCUGCUGCUAUCGUUGCUCUAUGUUUUAUUUUUCAUGUGGAGAUUGUUUCAUAGAGCAUAAAUCAGAGUACAGGGUAUGCUUGUCAUCACUUCACUAAUACACUUGUCUUUUGACUUUAAGAGGUGAAGGUAAAUGGAACUGUGUGUUUGACCCUCAUGGGGACAGUUAUACAUUUUCCUAGGCCACAGCUCUUCUUGGCAAUAAACACUGCCAUGUUAAACCAACUAAGCAUGUUAUUUUCUCUAUUUCAUGAAGAAAUUUCACAGAGCUUUGAGAAAACAAUGUAGAACUUCUGGCUACUUCAGUGGUUUAGAAGUGUGGGAUAAGUAUACAAUGACUCUUUUGUCCCUUAUAUUGUACCAACACUGGUAACAUUUGCUUCUUUCCCAGUUCCUAAAUCAGGACUCCUAAACCCCUUGGAAUACCUUGCAUGCAUCUUUAGUUAUAAAGCAACUACUGGUGGACUUCUCUGUAGUGUCAGGAUGGGGUCUUAUCAACAGAAAAACCCAGUGUAGUAGAAGCCUGGAAUAGUCCUACACCCUCUGAUCUCUGAGACAAAGUUGAGGAUGGAGAUUAAUGGAUUAACAGCAGGUUAUGCUUAUAAGAUUCAUGAACUGAUACAUAUCCUAGGAAGUUGCUGUGGCAUAACUCCAAGGGACAGACAAUCCUGUACCUCUUCAUGUAACUAUUCAUAUAAUAAACCAACAAACACAAACAUACAUGUCUUUCUGAUUUCUGUAAGCUAUCUUAGCAAAUUACUGAAGUGGGGAGGUAGUCUUUUUCAUAUAACAGCCUUAUAGCUGUUAUAUGAAAAGUUUGGGUUAUCCCGGAAUUUGGAACUAGCAUCUGGCGGGAGAGGAAUCUUUUAAGAGUAAGCCCUUAAACUAUGAGAUCUUUUAACUUAGCCAUUAGUGACAGAAUUGAAUUGAAUUUUUUAACACCUGGUUGGUGUUUGGAAAACCAGACAAUUAGUCAUUGGCAUUGGCAAAUACUCAAGUGUAGGGAAAUUAAGUAGUUCGAUUUCUACUGCAUGUUACUGUCCCCAGAUAAAUCUAGAGAUAUGCAAAUAUUACGGUAUGCUCAAACUAUGCCUUUUCAAUGAAAUUCAAGGGGCUAGAGGGAUGGCUCAGCAGUUAAGGGCACUUCGCUGCUCUUGUAAAGAAAUAGGGUCCAGUUCUGAGCAGUGAUGUGGUAGUUCACAACUGUUUAUAACUCCUGUUCCAGGGGAUCUCUUGGUCUCUGUUGGCACUAGGCACAUAUGUGGUGAGCAUACAUACAUACACAGAGGCAAAUGCUAAUACUCAUAAAAAGAAAUGAGUAAUUAUUUAAAAGCAAUUCAAGAGCAAGUGGUAGUUAUGGUGACAAAGAUGAUUCGGAUAACUAGGUUAAUAACCAAAUGUAUGGAAUAGUUACUAAAAGUCAUUCAUUGAUCAGAGCAUUUUUCAUACAUUGUUUUAUUUAAUUGUUAGACCAAUGCACAAGAUAGCUAUCAUUAUCCCUUCCAGUUUAAAAAUGAGUAAAUAGAGUCUUGCCAAUACUAUAAUAAUAAAUAACUCUAUUAGGGUCACAUAUCUAGUGUCAGGCGGCCUAGGAACCCAGGUAAAAGAACCUAUAGCCAUUUUCCAAUCAGACAGCUAUGAAGAUGAAGGGUCAUAACUUCCACAUAGUCAGGUUUGUAGAAAACUAAGCCCCAAACUUGCUUACCAGCCUAGAAAACAAAAGCCAAGUUUAACUGACAUGUAAGCACUGGCUUGAAAUAGGUCCUUCAACCACAUAAGGGAAAGAUUUUUGGAGGAAAUGAUCAGUAGGAGACUGGGUGACAAUAGCAGUUGGUUUUGUGGCGGUUGGUGUGAUAAGAAGCACAAGAGGUGUUUAUCUGGCCACAGGUUUUCCAAGAGAAGUAUGUAGUGGAAAGAAUGGGGAUAUUUAAGCACGUUGGUUAGCUGAUGUGUGUUGUGGGAUCUUACCUUCUAUAGCGGAGGUCCAUGGCCUGGUUUUAGUGCUGAUUCUGGCAGAAGAAGAUGCCAGGGUUAGAGUCUAGACCACUCUAAACAGAAGCUCAUGACACAAGAAUUCUUAAGAUUUUUUAUUUACUUUAUGUAGGUGAGUGCUUUGCCUGUACUCUGUAUAUGCAUGGACACAGUGUAUACCUGGUGUCCAUGGCCAGAAGAUCUCAUAGAACUGAAGUUAUGGACCAUUGUGAGGUGCCAUGUGAUCGCUAGUGUCUGAACCUGAGUGCUCUAUAAGAAGAGCAAGUACUCAACCCCUGAGCCAUCUCUCCAUCUCCCAACGAUGAAUUUUGUGUAUUCUUAUGGAAGAUUUAUUUCUGGAUAGAGGUAUGUAGACCCAGGGUGUUUGGGGUUUGUUGGAGGUUGGAGGAUGUACUUGCAGUUGUCUUUUGUGUUGGGUAAGUCAAAAGCAAGGCUAUUGGUUCUUGCCAUUUGUGUGGGGAAAGAGGGAUUGGAGAAAGGAACAUAAAAUGAUUUAGCUUGCCCCUCUAGUAUCAGCAACUUUAAUGUGUUUAUUUUAAUUCUGAAUGUUCUGUUCAUCUGAUAUUAUUAAUUUUAGUUUACUGCUGAGAAUAAAUAAAACAUGGGGCUUUAAAAAAAACACUCCAAAGUUAUAAAAGUAGUGGGAAAAUCUAGGCUUUAAAUCCAGCUCAACUGACUCCAGAUACUUUGCUUUUUAUACAAUAGCAUGUGGUGAGACAUAUUUUGUUAGCUGGAAGUCUCCUGCCUGAGUCUACUAAUAUGAAUUGUGAACAUAUGGUCAUGCCUGAAUCUUGUCUAGACCUUUUGUUAAAACAAGGAGACAACUGCUGUGACCUAUGGCUUGUGUUUUCCCCCAAGUUUGUCUCAAUGUUUUAAGAAAGCAAGUAUUGCAUGUCUAUACUCAGCUUUCACUGAACGUUUCCACAGUCAUCACUAAUAAUUCUGACAGAUAAUAGGAGGGGAUUGAAACAGAAGUUGUUAUUUGCAGGGGCUGUGAGAGAGCUUGGCUUUUCUUGUAGAGAUGGAUUGGGAAGCACCAGCUGUUGUGUCAUGGGCUCUGUCUUAAACAGUGUUCCUCAUCCUCCACAUCCCAGUCAUCACACAGAUUCUCCACACAACUUCACUGCAUCACUGUCAACUUGAAACCGUAGUUGAGGAAGAAAUUUCUGCCUGAGCUUACUCCAGGGUCUGGGUGGACAUUGGCUCUCUCCAGUCACUGACUCCUGGUUGUCAUAAUUUCCACAUAGCAUAGUGCUCUGUAUGCCAUCUAAUGACUACUCCAUCCUGGUAGAAAACAAGUACUCAAGGUAGCAGUAUUUUCACCCCUUUGUACCCCCUUAUUUUUCUAAGUAUCUAAUAAGUCUUUGUUAAGAUGAGAAAUUGUAGCUCCAGGGAGAACUGCUUGAGGCUUCUUUACUGGACAGGCAUGUUAAGGGGUGGAAAGGUCCUAAGUAGAAACCCUGAGGCAUGGGCAGGAAAAUGCACUUGGCUGAGAAUGUUCUAGACAGUAGUUGAAGGAUAUUUUUCAACAUAGGUAGCUAGUUACAGGGUCUGGCUAUUGGUCCCACCUCUGCAAGUCUCUGAAUUUGGAUACAGCCCUUAAUGCAAUCACUCACUUCUUUGUUUAUUGCCUAACAAGGUAACAUUGGCUAAUCUAUAGAAUGACAUACCAUGAGAGUUCUUUGAUUUUUAUCAAGUACUGCAUGAACAAAGAAUAUAUCUAAUUAUUUAUACUAAAUAACUAGUCUUAUUUAGAAAGGAGCCUUAAGAACCCAAAACUGAAUAACAUAACAAACAAUAGGAAAAAAAAAUGGAACAUUAGAAAUCCAUUUACUUCAAUGAAAAUACCUGACAUUACAAUAAAAAUAAUUUUAAUGUAACACCUUGCUUUAAAAUGUUAUUAGAAACUGUCACACCAUAUAAUCAUGCACGCCUCCUGCAUUCUAAUGAAAAUAAACUGUUGUUUCUUUUGAGCCUGUCUCCAGAGGAAAGUCCUCAGGGAUAAACCCAGUCAUUCAGUCGCAUAAUAAUACGACUGUCUUUCUGUGUCCUGGCAGACAGUGAUGUACAGAGGAGAAUGCAGAAGGCAGUGGGAAUGAAAACUGAAUGUGGCGUUUUUUGUCAUGACUUUAUUUCCUACAGCUGACUGUCUUAGAUACUUUCUUUCAUUUCAUUCUCAGUAAGCUAUAGUUUGACUCUACAUUUAAAUUAUCUGGCUUUUAAUACCGUCUUUACUUCACCCCAGUUACUUUGAGACAUAUUUAUCUCUGUGAGCAUCAGUUCUUUUAACACAGAAAGAGCAUAUUAAUUGCUUUCAGGACUCAAUUAGAACAUGCACACCAGGUGCCUGGGGCUGUAGCUCAAUGGUAGAAUAGUUGCCUAGCAUGUUUGAGUUUCCGGGUUCAAUCCCUGCAUGUCCCUCCUCCCCUGAAAAAAAUCCAACAGUGAAACUUACGAAAAAUGUCUUGGUGCAUGCUAGCCAUCAAUAAAUGUUAGAAACUGUCCUGAUUGUCACCUUGUUUGGGGGCUGCCAUCAUGGUAGCAGAACCACCAUAUCUCAUAUUUGGAUGUUUUCAAGAAAUAAAAUAGCUUAGAAUUGAUUUAUGUUGCAUGGGAAUAUCAGUCAGUCCUGCUUAUUCUAGUUAAACUGCCUGGCAAUUUCAUCCCUACUCAAGUAUGUUCCUGUGCCUGUGCAUGUGCGUGUGCGUGUGCGUGUGCGUGUGCAUGUGCGUGUGCGUGUGUGUGUGUGUGUGUGUGUGUGUGUGUAUACACAUAUAUGUGCAUGUGUGUGCUUUCGUGUGUGUGCGUUGCUGGACAAACCUAAGGCUCCACAUAAGGCUCCUACCACUCUACCACACACCCUGUCUCACUUCCACUGUUUGUGUGCUUAAUCAAACCAUCAAUACUUGAGAAAAGGCCGUUGCUCUUUAAUUACCAGUUGUAAACUUAGAUGGGAGUAAAGGGAAGUGCGAAAAUUAAAGUGAGCUGGAUUGAUGUACUCCUUUGUAUAGUUUUAAGUAGAGUUGUUUAACACUGAUAUAUGAUUAACCGUCCUGCUUCUGACUCCUGGGAAAUGGUUCUUUGUCAGUGUGGUAGUUCUGAGAGCUCUGCUUUUCCUUUAGCAGGUACUGGUAGAAGCUGAAGCAGAUUAACUGUCCCAGGGAUGGUGGUGACGAACGCAAGGUAUAGAAGCCAGAAGUCCAUUUCACCUGGCUGAAAUGGUAUGGGAUGACUCAUCCCUCACGGGUUUGAGUUGGCCCAAACAAGUAAAAAAGAUACUUUCUGAGAACCAUCCUGGGUCUGCCUGAUGGUUUUAGCAACAGCAGCUGAAACAUGAUCUGGAGAUGACCUGGACCAAUGAGAGGCAGCCAUGUUACACCAGCAGAUGCAUAUUCAUCAGACCUCCCCCCAGGGUGGGGUAGAGGGUAUAUAAGGAUUGCCUCUUCCUGAAUAAACUGAGCUUGUUGUUUGGACAUUCUCCUGGAGUCUGUGUGGUUUGACUCUGUGCCUACUUGGCCCCCGCCCCCAAAGGGAACAACAGCAAGGACCCUGCAGCAGACAGGUUAUGUUACACAGCUGUCAGGAAAGCUCCUUGUUGGCCACAUGGUGGCAUCCUUGCAGUUAUGAUGGUAUUUAAAAGCUAACUGCAAGCUGGAGAAGGGAAUUCUUGACACAUCCCAUUAAAUGCUCAUCUUCAGAUGAAGUGUACAUGAAGCAUUAUGCAAUUGACCUAUAAAGACUGUAUAGUGCUUAGAGUGAAGAUUGGACCCAGGCUUAUCCUUGGUGAGGCUGAAAUUCUAAAAGUCUCUAGAGUUCAUGCUCCUGGAUCAUCAUCACCAUGCAUUCACAUUGAGAUCAAGAAGGUAACUAAAAGAGGUAAACACAUCAAUUAAGAAAGCACAAGGAUUUGAGAGAAUUAAAUGGAUUCUGGUGCCAUUGCUUUCCCAAGAGGAUCUCCAAGGAACUGCCUGGUCAGCAUCAGUCUGUGACUGUGGGCCCAGCAGAGACUCUGUUGAGCAGACACAGAAGAAACUUAGAAAUGGAACAUGAAUUUUAUGUAAGGGAAAAGGAAAGCUCUUUGCUGUUUAUCUCAGCAGUUUUCUGGAGACCAAAUGCUACACUUUAUCCCCACGAAGUACAUGAAAGCAAGUUGGUUGUAACUUGUAGCUGUCAGUCGGCUUUCAGAGUAGAAUCCAUGACUCUACAGUUUCAUGCCUAAUGUUUUUUGUUUUUAUCACUGUCAGAAUAAGCAUAUAGUCUCAUGCUUAAACAUGAAUCAGAAGUGUGCAUUCCUCUUUAAAUCAUAUAAACAAAACUUGAAGAUUCAGUGGUGUUGCAUGUAAUUUAAGACCGUGUGGACACAUGAAUUAGUUAAUUCUGUAGUGUCUAAUUGCCUAGCCAAACUGUAAUUUUGAAUAUGUUCUUUGGGUAAGGAAAAUAGGUUAGUUAUUGGGAUUAUAAUAUUCUUCACACACCUGUAAAAAAGUAUUUUUUGACUUCUGUGUAUAAAAUAGUUACCUUGUACUCCAUAAUGGCAAUGUUGUGCCAGUUUUAAUCCAAUCCAUAAGCAUAGUAGGGAAUCACAACUAUCUUUCAUAUUUUUUUUUCUGGCAUUAAGAAACGAUAAUCCUGGGAUCUAUAGGAUGAUGACUCAGUGCAUAUGGUGCUUGCCACCAACUCUGAAGGCCUGAGUCCACCAGAGGAACUCACAUGGAGGAAGGAGAGAACUGACUCCUGCACACAUGUGCUAUGGCAUACAGAUACUCCUGUGCAUGCGCUUGUGUGUGCACAUGUGCACAAACACACAUACACACACAAAUAAUACACAAAAAUAAAAUAAAAUUUAAAAAUGAUAAUGAUCUCAAUUGUGUCUUUAAACUCUAUUUCAAAAGUCUCAUCAAUUUCACUUAUAAGCAGACCUAAAUUUGACAACAAUCCUCCAAAUUUAUCAAAGUAUCCAUGAGCAGAGAGGCUAAAGAAUUAGGCACAGAACACUUUCUUCCUUACCAAGUUGAGCCCUCUACUUUUUAGUAUUUAUUCACAAAAAUGAAGCUGCUUUAAGUUGGAGAUAGCAACAGAAUUCUAACAUAUCAGCUUAAUGAAUAUUCUACUGUGAAUUUUAUGGUUAAAGAAACUAAGACAAACAAUGUUAUUCUUCUUCUAUGGCAAAGGAAGCAUCAUUGAAAACACCUUAACUACAUUUUUGGGUAUCUGGCGUGGAGUUUGGCGGAAGCAAUAUUGGGAUCGGGAGUUGAUAGGAGAGGACAUGUUAUGAUGACUAACUACCACAACGUGGUAUUUUCAAAUGCAUUUCUUUGUGCCAUUAGUAUUUUGCUGUUACUUAUAUAUGUAUUGUCGAUUUUUAUUGAUACUAGCUUUAUGACUUACGCUAUUUACUUAAAUUAAUGUAAAGUAUUCAUAGAGAUAAGCUUUAUCCCAGGAGACAAUAGGUACAAAUAAGAGUGAUGGAUCAAAAAACCAGUUCAGAAGCAGACAGGUGACACUGGCUGAACAUCAGAGGAAUCUAACACUGACAAAGUAAUGGAUGACAGUUGACAACCUAAAGAUAUCUUUUAAGAUAUGUAAAUGAGGCAGACUCACUGCAAAGUGAAUACAAAGACUAAUGAAGUGAAGUGAUUGCUUCCAAUGAUCCAAGGAUUGCUGAAAACCAGCACAAUAAGGAAGAGCCAAGGGACACCUCCAGCAGUGUACCCUUAUAGUCUCCUGAAGGUAGGUACCACAGGUUGAACACAAAAAUCUGAAGAUUUGAAGAGAGUAUCCAUACAUGAUUAGUGAAACAUGUUUCAACGUAUUGAGUCUUGUGUUGAAGUCCUCAACGAAUUUUCAGUUGAAUGGUGUUCAUGGUGAGAGAUGAAGGAAAGAACAGACUUUGAUUAACAGCUGAGUUCCACGUUUCACUUCAAAUUAAAUGCUGGAAGAAGCUCAUGACCCCAAGUGAGAUAAACCUCACCUGUGCUGCGAUGGUGCUGAGAACAUGCAUGGUUUUCUGUGCUGCCCAAAGUGCUGAGUGGAGGCUGCCCAAAGACAGUGAUGGACACAGGAGAGCACUUCAGCUACUCAGUGUCAUUGAAUUUCUGGAGGACAAGAGGGCAGCUGCGCUUGUUUGUGAACAAGGCUGGAGACUUCAGCAAGAGCCACACCCACAGAGCCUUCCAACCCUGUGUCAUCCAUCAAGUCAGAGAAAAGGGAAGCAGUCCGGAAAAGAGUGCUGGAGAGACGUGGGGAGGACUUUAAAGAGGAAGGGAAGGUCUACAGACUGAGGACUCCAGAUGAUGGCGAAGACGAGAACAACACUUGGAACGGGAACUCCACGCAGCAGAUGUAGAUCGCGGCACAGUGGGACAGUCUUCACUGCUUCCCCAGGAGUCCACUCCAGCUUCUGCUGGACAAGUGGGGCUGCUUAUGUUUUCAGACCAUGGGUACACUAUUUCUGCUUAGAGGUUAUGAGUUCAAGUUGUUUAACCUGAAAAAGUCAAAAUAGGAACUAGCUGGAUGCUAGGUCCUUGUACAGGGUAACCAGCUGCUCGCCCAGCCACCUACCAGUUCCUGCUCAAACUUUACAGUCCAAUGUUUCAUUUAGAAUACUUUUUGCUGCAAGAUUUUUAAGCUACACAAAGUAAUUGGUAUGUCACUGGGUAGUCUGACCCUAGAGCUCUUCCACUAGCUCUCAGGUGAUAAUGAUGGUUAGCAUU